GCCCAUAACAUGCUCCACGAAGUUCUUCUCCCCAGACUCGACCAAACAGAAAACGCCGCCGCCGCGGCCAACUUCCCUCCCGCCGCCGCACCCAGGCUCCCACGCGACGCCUCCUACCUCUGCGCACGGCCGCCCACCUCCCGCGCGUCGCCGCCUGCCUCCACGCGCUGCCGUCCCACAUCCCGCACGCCGCCGUCCCACAUCCCGCGCGCCACCGUCCCACAUCCGCGCAUCGCCACCUCUCCUCCGUUGGCCGAUGCCUGCCUCCGCGCACCGCCACUUCCUCUCUAGCGCUCUGCUAGCCUCCCACUGCCUCCUUCCACUACGGCAGCGGCUUCCCUCCCCUGCGCGCUGCUGGCAAACCACCGGCAGCAGGCUCCUCCGCCGGCCGUCGACCUUACCAGCGCCGCUGCCCAACCACCGCUCUCUGUCGACCAGGCUUCUGCGCGCGCCCUCCUCUCCCAGGCCCCCUCCCAUAGGUAUUGGAGCCUCCCUUCCCUGAUCUCGACCCUGAUUUUUCUCUCCCUCCCUCUCCCUAAUCUCUCUCUCUACACUAAUCUCUUUCUCUUCUCCUUAGUCCCUAGCCCAUCGCUGAAUGCAUACGCUGCACCACAGGUUCCUACUCCACCGUGCCUCGUCUCUUCUUCUUCACUCUUCACUUCUCUAGUGUGUGCACACAAAUUUUUCGCUAAAAUGUCUAUGUGCACUAGUACCGGUGUAUGUACAUUCUAGGUCUUGGUACUGUAAUAUGGCAAUACACCUUUGAUGUAUUUGUCAUGCUUUCUAUAUCGCAUUGAAACUGGCUGCAGUUCAGUUCCGGAUGAACUUCUUGUUGAAAGGGUGGUUGGCAGACGGCUGCAUCCUGAAACGGGGAAAAUAUACCAUCUAAAGUAUUCUCCGCCUGAGAAUGAAGAAAUUGCAUCCAGGCUUACACAAAGAUUUGAUGAUACAGAAGAAAAGGUUAAGCUGAGGUCGCAGACGCAUUAUCAAAAUAUCAAGUCCUUGGUUUCGAUAUAUGAAGAUGUUAUAGUCAAGGUAAAAAGGAAAUACCACGGUGGAAGAUGUGUUAUGUGAGAUCGACAAGCUGCUCACUUCCAGGCUUGAUAAGAAAAUAGAAAUGGUGGCUAGCUAACUCAUAAGCAGAGAAAGCUGUGCGAACCACACAUUUGGUUGAAGCAUGGUUUUAUUUUAUUUUUUCAAGACAUGCAGGUGACAAAGCAUUGGUAGGAUGAUAUUUAGAAAGCCCUUUGUUAUUCAUGGAUGUAAAUGCGUCACUGUUUUGUAAUGAUCUUUACUAGGACUACAUUGAUAUAACAUGCAAUUGGAAGGAUUGCCUUGAGUUUGUACUUUACAAAAAUAGUACCAGUUUAGUGCAUUCGUUUUCCCUUCUAGCUUAGUCCUUGCCUGCUAACUGAUAUAGCUUGGAUUACUGAGAGUAUUUUCCCUGUGUGUUCUGCACUUUAGGUUCAAGUUCAUCGUGCAUCCUCGACGUAGCGCAGCUCCGGCUCCUCCCCUGCUUGCUGCCAGGUCUGUCUCUCCUUCCUCCCCUGCUCACUGUCUUGUACGACAGUGGAUGCGGCUACAUGAUGGAACGAAAGCCGUCCUCCCAGCACCGGCGGUUGUACUACACCCUACAGAAAAGAACAAUCGCUAGUUCAGAAUCAGAAAAAAGAGAAGUUCAAGAAGAACAAAGGGACAACUAUGAUGAUGGCGAUUGAAAAAGGAUUCUGAAAUAAUAUUAUUGAGACUGAAGGCCUUUGAUGCAUGAUGUCGGAGAAUUCCAGGGCUUUUUUCCAAGGCGGCCGAUGGCUUUCGAGAGAUGUGUUCAUAUCUCACAAGUUUCUACGGGUUCAAGUUCAUAUAUAUAAAGAAGAAAUGCCAAUUUUGUUGCACAUAUGUGUGUGAAGGAGGCACUGAAAGUUGAUGUACUUGUUAUUUCUUUUCUUGUAACCCCUACAUACCUGAUUGAGACUAUUCAGUCACAAUUAUUUUUGCUUGCCAUGCCCCGACGCCUCCUCCAUCUCGGUGUCGCGGUCACGAACCAACAUCAAUUUGCUGGUCACUGCU